UGGGGAAUUUUGGACAAUGGGCGAAAGCCUGAUCCAGCCAUGCCGCGUGAGUGAAGAAGGCCUUCGGGUUGUAAAGCUCUUUCGGCGGGGACGAAAUAGCGCGGGGUAACAUCCCGCGUCGAUGACGGUACCCGAAGAAGAAGGACCGGCUAACUACGUGCCAGCAGCCGCGGUAAUACGUAGGGUCCAAGCGUUAAUCGGAAUUACUGGGCGUAAAGCGUGCGUAGGCGGUCUCGCAAGUCCGAUGUGAAAUCCCCGGGCUUAACCUGGGAACUGCGUUGGAAACUAUGAGACUAGAGUGCGGCAGAGGGGGGUGGAAUUCCAGGUGUAGCAGUGAAAUGCGUAGAGAUCUGGAGGAACACCGAUGGCGAAGGCAGCCCCCUGGGUUAGCACUGACGCUCAUACACGAAAGCGUGGGGAGCAAACAGGAUUAGAUACCCUGGUAGUCCACGCCCUAAACGAUGGCAACUAGUUGUUGGGGGAUGAACUCCCUUAGUAACGCAGCUAACGCGUGAAGUUGCCCGCCUGGGGAGUACGGUCGCAAGAUUAA
rnacentral:rRNA from 1 species